UCUUACUUUCUCAAUCCCGUAAAGCCCAAACCCAUUUUUGGGUUCAAAGCCCCUAAACCGUGCCUCCUCCCUUCGACCGUUGUUGCACACUUUGCCGGUCAGCUUCUCCCUCUCUACCCGUCUCUCACUUUCUCUCCUUUCCCUCUCUAUUUUUGUCACUAUCUGUAUCUCUCAUUCUCUCGUGACUGCCCCUCCGCCACCCAGGCCAUCAACCACCUCCAUCAUUGGAAAACACAUUCCCAGCCACUCAAGUACCCCACUUUCCCUCCCCCAAACCCCGAAUCCCCCCAAGUCUUCCAACCCUCAAUCAGGCCACGCAUUGAGAAUGACAAAUCAUUGAGUAGUCGACAUGAAGCUCAGAACGCUGGCGAUCAUCUACAAAUUUCUUCCCAUCGCACGGUGACUUUGAUAUAGAUAGAGAAUUUGGUAGUAGUUAUGGGCAUGGGAUCCGACAUAGCCAGAGGAUUGAGGAUUGAGGCUUUUCCCUACUUUGUUAAUUUAUUUUGUUUGAUUUACCAGGUGACUGUAAACAUUCCUUCGCUUAUGGUUUGGAGACAUGUGGCUUAUGGUUAUUAUAGUUGUGAUGCAUUUUAAUUUUCUAGUACUUUUAUUUAGAUUUAAUGACUACCUUUUUUUUUUUUUUU